CAGGCAAUUGCCGAUAGGGCUUCUUUCCAUCCUUAUAGAUUAGUUUUGCCUGUUCCAGUGUUUGUUUGGCUUCUUUCACUCAGUGGAGGGAGAUACCUAUAUCGGUAGUUUAUUCCUUUUUAUUAUGGAUUAAUAUUUCACUAGAAUAUUAGUAUAUACGCCAAAGUUUGUUCGUUUACCUGUUGAUGGACAGAUAUUUGGGUUAUUUCAAGGUUUUUUUUUGCUAUUAUGAAAAGAGCCUUAUUUUUUUCUCUUCAUCUCAACCGAUAAUCACUUCCUUGCCUACAGGUGGGAGAGGAGAGAGGCCGGUGUUGAGUGCAGCAUUUCUCACACAUUAGUUCAUAAGAAUCUUAUUAAAUGAUCUAAGUUAAGAGCACUUGCUAAAUGAGGCACAGCGGCUGGUCUCUACCCCCAGAGUUUCUGAUUCAGUGGAUCUAGGGUGGGCCAAGAAUUUGCAUUUUUUUAAAGAUUUUAUUUAUUCAUGAGAGACACAAGAGAGAGGCAGAGACACAGGCAGAGGGAGAAGCAGGCUCCAUGCAGGGAGCCCGAUGCGGGACUCGAUCUCAGGACCCCAGAGUCAUGACCUGAGCCAAAGGAAGACACUCAACCACUGAGCCACCCAGGUGCCCCCAAUAUGCAUUUCUAAUAAGAUGUGCUGCUACUGCUGCUGCUCCAGGAAACACCCUUGGAGAACCACUGGGCUUGACGAACAGGAAGUGGCCUGUCAUGUGGUGCUGUAUUUUAUCAAAGCCUUAUUUAUACACAGUCCUGAUCACUUUUCAGAACGGUUGGUCUGUGAGAAGGGAAUAUGGAGCGGUGGAAAUGGCAAGGCCAAUCUUUACCUGGGAGGACUUCACACUGUGCUUUACCGACAUGUAGCCAAGAUGCCUACUGAGCCCCAUGGGCAAAGCUCUGAAGAUUUCAUCUAGAAACCUGCUGUCGAUAUGUAGAAGAGCUCACUAUUUCAGUUUCACAGCAAAAAAAAGGGAAAAUAAAAACCCAAAAGGUAUUUAAGUAAAUGCUUUC
rnacentral:lncRNA from 12 species